rnacentral:rRNA from 1 species
AUUGAACGCUGGCGGCAGGCCUAACACAUGCAAGUCGAACGAGUGGCGGACGGGUGAGUAAUGUCUGGGAAACUGCCUGAUGGAGGGGGAUAACUACUGGAAACGGUAGCUAAUACCGCAUACUAUUGGAGCGGCCGAUAGAGGAUUAGCUAGUUGGUGGGGUAAAGGCUCACCAAGGAAACGAUCCCUAGCUGGUUUGAGAGGACGAACAGCCACACUGGAACUGAGAAACGGUCCAGACUCCUACGGGAGGCAGCAGUUGGGAAUAUUGGACAAUGGGAGGAAGCCGGAUACAGCCAUCCCGCGUGUAUGAAGAAGGCCUUCGGGGUGUAAAGUACUUUUGGCAGGGAUGCGGUAACCGCAGAAUAAGCACCGGCUAACUCCGUGCCAGCAGCCGCGGUAAUUC